rnacentral:lncRNA from 1 species
GUGAAAACAAUGAAGCCCGCGUCAGCGCGCCCGCGCGCGCAUGGUGAUCUGGGUGUCGCGCAAAAGGUGAGCGUUGAUCUGACACGCGCGCUGAAAGACACACAGGUUGGGGCCGACAGUCAGAUGAAAAACAAAAUCCUUCCGAGGAUUCCAUCUGAGAAAGUGGGGAGGCAGCCGGAAUGCAGUGACACGCCUGGACCUGAACUUCCGCAUCGAGGAGGAAGACGAGGAGGCAAGACGGCCAGAUGCAACGAACAUCAAGACAGAUCUUUGAGUCAUCGAGCUUCAUCGAAGAGGAAGAGCUCAGCGGGGAUCUGAUGUUCAGGAGGCUUUUCCUUUGACACUCACUGCUGUGACAAGGACUGACACUUAAAAACAAAGGUGAGUUAAUCUUUACCUGGACUUAACGGUAAACACCUACAGCUGCUUCUGAACAAAGCUUUGGGUUC